CACGUAGGGGGCGAGCGUUGUCCGGAUUUAUUGGGCGUAAAGAGCUUGUAGGCGGUUUGUCGCGUCUGCUGUGAAAUCCCCCGGCUCAACCGGGGAACUGCACCUGAUACUGGCGUGCUCGAGGACGGUAGGGGUGAGUGGAACUCCAGGUGGAGCGGUGAAAUGCGUAGAUAUCUGGAGGAACACCGGUGGCGAAAGCGGCUCACUGGACCGUCUCUGACGCUGAGGUGCGAAAGCUAGGGUAGCAAACGGG
rnacentral:rRNA from 1 species